AAUAAAAAACACAGGAGUGAAUCACUUAUGUGACGUACUGAAGGAUUCACGCUGUAAACUGGAGAGAUUGAGACUUUAUUACUGUGGCAUUACAGAUGUUUCUUCUUUAACUCAGUCUUUGACAAACACAAAAGCUCUGCAGUUUCUAAAAGAGAUUAAUCUGAGUUAUAAUAAGAUUGGAGACUCAAAGCAGAAGCUCAUUGAUGUGCUACGAGACUCAAACUGUGAACUGAGGGGUGCACCGAAAUUUCGGUCGCCGAAAAUUUCGGCCGAAAAUGGCAUUAUCGGUUUCGGGCCGAAAUAAAAAGUCCAGCCGAAAAUGUCAACCACGCCCCUCCCAUCCGUGCGCUAGCGCUUGGGUUUCACUUACUGUUAUCACUCGUCACCCACCCCUCCCCUCCGUGCUCAAGCAGGUUUCACUCACAUUAUUUCGACGAAGAGAAAAAGCGUAAAAUGACACAAAAAGAGCUGACGGAGAUUGAAACAUCUGGUGAAGGAAGAGACUCGACGGGGAGCGCACCGCAAACGGUGCCCGAGAAACGGUCACGUACAAGUGAGGAGGCGUACACUCCCUCACUUUCUGAGAUGUUUGACGAAAUUUUACAGGAAAGCACCCCAAUUCGUAGCGGUGUUGAAACAAGCGCAGCCGCACAACAAAUAGAGAUGUAUCUAGCUGAACAACCCAUUGCCAGAAGCGACAAUCCUCUGGACUACUGGCGCGCAAACAAAGUGCAAGUAAAUGCAAGUAAAUAAUUGUUUACAUGCAGCAACAGAAUAGAGGCCCACUGCCAUUCUGUGAUUUUUGUGUGCAGUUAUUCAGAUAAUUGUGGAUUGUUUUUUUUCCCCCACAAAUGUUAAACUAUUUUAUUCAGUGGAAGAAAACUUGAAGAAUAAUAAUAUUUAUUUAUUGUUAAAAAAUAUUUUAGGUUUUGUUAUGUAAAUGUAAGUGUUAAUAAAGGUUUGAUGAUUAUUCUAUUGGUUUGUGAUUUUUCAUUUCAGAUCCAUUAAAAAUUAAGCAAUACG